GCAGCUCACUGACAUAAACAAAAAUAACAAACAAAAAAAGUGUGGUCGAUUGAGUAAGACUGAGUAACCUAACCUUUUACGACAAGAUGGAUGUUCAACUGCAAUUAACGAUGGCGGAACACGAUGAAAAAGAAUGCGAAUUUUAAGGAAUCGAACUUCAAAUACAGUAGUCUAGGUUCAAUUGGGAAAGAUGGUUUUAGGGUUUCAACAAGUUCUCUAGGUUCAAUUGAUUUUUAAGGGCUGAGUUUAAAUGGUAUUUUGGGUUUAAUCGAUUGGGACCACAAUGUUAUUGAUCUAUAAUAUAUAACAAUC
rnacentral:lncRNA from 1 species